AACGAACGCUGGCGGCGCGUCUUAAGCAUGCAAGUCGAACGGCAAGAUUGGUGCUUGCACCGAUCCUAGAGUGGCGGACUGGUGAGUAACGCGUGGGCGACGUACCCUAAGGAUGGGGAUAGCUGGUAGAAACAUCAGAUAAUACCGAAUAUCCUUAUUGUUGUUAGAGGACAGUAAGGAAAGGAGCUUUGGCUUCGCCUAAGGAUCGGCCCGCGUACUAUUAGCUAGUUGGUGAGGUAACGGCUCACCAAGGCGACGAUAGUUAUCCGGCCUAAGGGGUUGAAAGGACAAAUUGGGACUGAGAUACGGCCCAGACUCCUACGGGAGGCAGCAGCUGGGAAUAUUCCGCAAUGGAGGAAACUCUGACGGAGCGACGCCGCGUGGAUGAUGAGGGCCGGAAGGUUGUAAAAUCCUUUUAAGCAAGAAGAAUAAACUUUACAGGGAAUGGUAGAGUGGUGACGGUAUUGCUUGAAUAAGCAACGGCUAAUUACGUGCCAGCAGCCGCCGUAAAAC
rnacentral:rRNA from 1 species